rnacentral:rRNA from 1 species
AACGAACGCUGGCGGCAGGCUUAACACAUGCAAGUCGAACGUGAAGCUGGAGCUUGCUCCAGUGGAAAGUGGCAGACGGGUGAGUAACGCGUGGGAAUUUACCCAGUGGUUCGGAAUAACUUCAGGAAACCGGAGCUAAUACCGAAUACGCCCUUCGGGGGAAAGAUUUAUCGCCAUUGGAUAAGCCCGCGUCGGAUUAGCUUGUUGGUGAGGUAAAAGCUCACCAAGGCGACGAUCCGUAGCUGGUCUGAGAGGAUGAUCAGCCACACUGGGACUGAGACACGGCCCAGACUCCUACGGGAGGCAGCAGUGGGGAAUAUUGCGCAAUGGAGGAAACUCUGACGCAGCCAUGCCGCGUGAGUGAAGAAGGCCUUAGGGUUGUAAAACUCUUUCGCUAGGGAAGAUAAUGACGGUACCUAGUAAAGAAGCCCCGCCAACU